rnacentral:lncRNA from 1 species
GGAUAUUCCACCAACACAGAUUGUACGUGAGAGACAAGUUCUUAUGCAAACACAUUAACACAUUUGCCAUGGCGGUGGAGGUUCAACCCGACUGCAGGGUGUUCUGGCUCAUGUACUGCAGAAGACACAAAUUUUGCUUUUUGAGUGACUGGCUUAUGAAUGACACAGCUUCAGUGAGCUUUAGCGAAAGGUUAGUAAAAUAAUUUGAUUUCAAACGACUCUAUUAAUACUGUACAGUGUGUUAGCAAGAACAUU